rnacentral:rRNA from 1 species
UACGUAGGGUGCAAGCGUUGUCCGGCAUUAUUGGGCGUAAAGAGCUCGUAGGCGGUCUGUUGCGUCGGCUGUGAAAACCCGAGGCUCAACCUCGGGCCUGCAGCCGAUACGGGCAGACUAGAGUUCGGCAGGGGAGACUGGAAUUCCUGGUGUAGCGGUGAAAUGCGCAGAUAUCAGGAGGAACACCGGUGGCGAAGGCGGGUCUCUGGGCCGAUACUGACGCUGAGGAGCGAAAGCGUGGGGAGCGAACAGG